rnacentral:rRNA from 1 species
AUGUGCCCGGACAGGAAAGAAUGGAACGAGCCACUAGUAAGGCAAAUUUUUCACUCCUUUGAUGCGGAUGAGAUUUGCAAAAUCCCCAUCCCGAGGGUGGAUGCCACGGACUACAUAGCGUGGCAUUAUGAAAAGAGUGGCAAUUUUUCAGUCAGGAGUGCUUACAAACUUGCGGCUGCCAUCGAAGGUCAUACGAACUUGGCUCCCUCCAGCUCGUCUAGUGCCACCAAUAACCGCAGCAUAUGGGACUUGAUCUGGAAGGCGAAAGUACCCCCCAAAAUCAGGAUUUUUGGUUGGAGGGUAGCAACUAAUACCCUGGCAACCCAACGCAAUAAGUUCAGACAAACCAUCAUCCAGGAUGGUACCUGCAUCAUUUGUGGUACAACAGCAGAGGACGAGCAUCAUGCGGUGAUUAACUAUACUAAAAGUAGAGCUCUGAGGCAGGCCAUGAGGGAAGUUUGGGAUCUCCCUCCAGAGAAAAGCUUCUGCUACACGGGUCGGGACUGGUUACAGAUUCUUCUAGACUCAGCGUCAGACGAUCUACAUGCUAAAAUUCUCUUUCUUCUCUGGAGAUGCUGGCACUUGCGAGAUGAUUGUGUCCAUGCAGGGGGCAAGGAGUCAAUAUUGGGAUCAGUGGGCUUCCUUCAGAGAUAUGAAGAGGAAUGGAAAUCUGCUUCGGUCCAGGAACUUUCAGUUUCAGGGAAAACUACUGGGACUCUGUCCAAACCAGGGGGAGCGGCCUCGUUGUACAACGCUUACUUUGGUCGACUCCAGCAGUUGGAUGGGCAAAGUGCAAUACUGACGCGGCAUUUAUUCAAGAAAAUGGCAAUAGCUGGGCGGGAGCGGUGA